GUGAGCGAUUGAUGCCUCCUGCUGUGGCCGGGGCGGCUGGCUAUCUCUCUCUCUCUUUCUCUCUCUUUCCAGUCUGGGACGGGCGACGGGGGGCGGCCCGCGGUGCCGUUCGAAUUCGCCUCUGCCGGCUCCAGACAGCUCCACUGUUCCCGCCCUAGCAGGGGGCGGUAAUCACAUCAGGCCCCCUGACGAGGCGCCAUUGAAUUCGGCUUCGGUCCCCUUAAGAACGCGGCACCCAGAAGCCCUUUCUUCCGCGCCGUGACGUUUACAAUGAGGUAUCUGUGCUCUCCUCGCUUCCUGGUCUUUUUUUUUUUUUUUUUUCGCAAUUCGUUUUUCGAUACGGAUAGACGAUUUUACGUCGGGGCACACACAAAAAUUUUUUGACGUUCUUACGAUGCAGAAACGUUACCUCUGGUCCGUUGAUGAUAUAGUGUAUAAAACAGUCUCUUUUGAAUGAGAUUUUGAAACACUAGAGAUUUUUUUUUUACACUAGAGAUAUUAGCUUAGCAGAUAAAGAAAACCUGUUGUGGAAAAACACAGUUGCAGGAGUUUUACUCUGAACCAUACAGAAUGUGAUGUAUUUUACAUUUUGUAGUUUUUUUUUUAGUGCUUAAAUUGCAAUACCCGAGUUACGCAGGGGAACACACGCAGAACCGAACACAUUCAGAAGCAGUCAAGGAAUCGGGGGCAUUUGAUAAAACACAAUUAUUUAAAUAAGUUACCUGCUGUGCAGUUCAUUGUCAGGCCCUUUUCCUCUUUUUCUAGCGAAAAACAGAAGGGCGGUGGUCUCGAAAAUGGGAUGCUACCACUUUAAGGCAAGAAGUCCAAGCGAUAUCCUUUCGAAUACUCUCAAUCGAUUCAUGCAGACUCCUACGAUCGCGGAACUGAAACUGCAGCACGAACAGGGGAGGACGCACCUAUUCCAGUAGCACAAUGCCGAGAAGGACAGCCGGGGUCCUGGACCACCAACGGAAAAUUGGCAGUUUGGGGCAACGGUCGUGGGCCACGAUGUCUCCCCGGGAGACACAAAGCCAGGAUUGGAGGAUGCGGGACAGCCAGAACAACAGCGGGCUGAAGCAGAUUGACAACGAUUACAGACUGGAGGUGCUUGCAAAAUCUUCCCAGGAGGAGGCGCGGAGGAGUCCACACAACACAGGGUGUGCCGUGCUCCACGGAGGUCAGACCUGGAGAGCAUGGAGGAGGAGGAGGAGGAGGAGGACCAGGAGGA